rnacentral:rRNA from 1 species
AUUGAACGCUGGCGGCAGGCCUAACACAUGCAAGUCGAGCGAGCGGCGGACGGGUGAGUAAUGUAUGGGGACUGCCCGAUGGAGGGGGCUAACUACUGGAAACGGUAGCUAAUACCGCAUACUAUCGGAUUAACCAUAUGGGAUUAGCUAGUAGGUGAGGUACUGGCUCACCUAGGCGACGAUCCCUAGCUGGUCUGAGAGGAUGAUCAGCCAAACUGGAAGUUAGACACGGCCCAGACGCGUACGGAGGCAGCAGUGGGGAAGAUUGGACAAUGGGCGAGAGCCUGAUGCAGCCAUGCCGCGUGUAUGAAGAAGGCCCUAGGGUUGUAAAGUACGUUCAGCGGGGAGGCGUUACCGGCAGAAGAAGCACCGGCUAACUCCGUGCCAGCAGCCGCGGUAAUAC